AUGGAUUUUCAGGUGCAGAUUUUCAGCUUCCUGCUAAUCAGUGCCUCAGUUUUUCUUCAUCUGAAUGUUGGGUGGUAUAAAAUUAUUUUUGUAUCUCUAUUUCUACUAAUCCCUUUCUCUCUAUUUUGCUUUUUUCUAGUCAUACUGUCCAGAGGACAAAUUGUUCUCACCCAGUCUCCAGCAAUCAUGUCUGCAUCUCCAGGGGAGAAGGUCACCAUGACCUGCAGUGCCAGCUCAAGUAUAAGUUACAUGCACUGGUACCAGCAGAAGCCAGGCACCUCCCCCAAAAGAUGGAUUUAUGACACAUCCAAACUGGCUUCUGGAGUCCCUGCUCGCUUCAGUGGCAGUGGGUCUGGGACCUCUUAUUCUCUCACAAUCAGCAGCAUGGAGGCUGAAGAUGCUGCCACUUAUUACUGCCAUCAGCGGAGUAGUUACCCA